CCUACGGGAGGCAGCAGUGAGGAAUAUUGGUCAAUGGACGAGAGUCUGAACCAGCCAAGUAGCGUGAAGGAUGACUGCCCUAUGGGUUGUAAACUUCUUUUAUAUGGGAAUAAAAUGUUCCACGUGUGGGUUUUUGUAUGUACCAUAUGAAUAAGGAUCGGCUAACUCCGUGCCAGCAGCCGCGGUAAUACGGAGGAUCCGAGCGUUAUCCGGAUUUAUUGGGUGUAAAGGGAGCGUAGGUGGAUUGUUAAGUCAGUUGUGAAAGUUUGCGGCUCAACCGUAAAAUUGCAGUUGAAACUGGCAGUCUUGAGUGCAGGAGAGGUGGGUGGAAUUCGUGGUGUAGCGGUGAAAUGCUUAGAUAUCACGAAGAACUCCGAUUGCGAAGGCAGCUCACUGGACUGCAACUGACACUGAGGCUCGAAAGUGUGGGUAUCAAACAGGAUUAGAUACCCUAGUAGUC
rnacentral:rRNA from 1 species